rnacentral:tRNA from 1 species
GAGAGAGGCUUGCAGCAAUGGAGACUGCUAAUUACCAUGACCUUGGUUGGAUUCCCAGGCUCACUCG